GGUAAAGUGGCCGAGUGAAAGGCGGUAGGCUGUAGUCCUAUUAACAUUGGUUUAAUUCCUUUCUUUAUCA
rnacentral:tRNA from 2 species